UACGUAGGGUGCAAGCGUUGUCCGGAAUUAUUGGGCGUAAAGAGCUCGUAGGCGGUGUGUCGCGUCUGCUGUGAAAACUCAGGGCUCAACUCUGAGCUUGCAGUGGGUACGGGCACACUUGAGUGCUGUAGGGGAGACUGGAAUUCCUGGUGUAGCGGUGAAAUGCGCAGAUAUCAGGAGGAACACCGGUGGCGAAGGCGGGUCUCUGGGCAGUU
rnacentral:rRNA from 1 species